GGGGUGUUAGAUCAGCGGUAGAGCAAUUGACUGAAGAACAAUUAGUCUUCGAUUCAAAUCCAGAACACAUUU
rfam:Neocallimastix californiae strain G1 LY90scaffold_64, whole genome shotgun sequence.